rnacentral:rRNA from 1 species
UACGUAGGGUGCAAGCGUUGUCCGGAAUUAUUGGGCGUAAAGAGCUCGUAGGCGGCUUGUCGCGUCGGCUGUGAAAACCUGGGGCUCAACCCCGGGCCUGCAGCCGAUACGGGCAAGCUAGAGUUCGGUAGGGGAGACUGGAAUUCCUGGUGUAGUGGUGAAAUGCGCAGAUAUCAGGAGGAACACCGGUGGCGAAGGCGGGUCUCUGGGCCGAUACUGACGCUGAGGAGCGAAAGCGUGGGGAGCGAACAGG